rnacentral:rRNA from 1 species
AUGAACGCUGGCGGCGUGCCUAAGACAUGCAAGUCGUACGAGAAAAUUCCUUCGGGAAUGAGUAAAGUGGCGCGCGGGUGAGUAAGACUUAGGUAACCUGCCUCCUCGCUGGGGAUAACCAGGGGAAACUCUGGCUAAUACCGAAUGACCCGGCCGGAACUGCGGUUCUGGUUGGGAAAGCCGCAAGGCGUGAGGAGAGGGGCCUGAGCCCCAUUAGCUAGUUGGUCGGGUAACGGCCUACCAAGGCAACGAUGGGUAGCUGGUCUGAGAGGAUGAUCAGCCACACUGGUACUUAAAUACGGACCAGACUCCUACGGGAGGCAGCAGUUAGGAAUUUUGCGCAAUGGGCGAAAGCCUGACGCAGCAACGCCGCGUGGGUGAGGAAGGCCUUCGGGUUGUAAAGCCCUUUCGACGGGGAAGAAAUCAAUGACGGUACCCGUGGAAGAAGCACCGGCUAACUCCGU